rnacentral:misc_RNA from 1 species
UACGAAGGGCCCGAGCGUUAAUCGGAAUCACUGGGCUUAAAGGGUGCGCAGGCGGACUCGCAAGUGUCUUGUGAAAUCCCAGAGCUCAACUCUGGAAUUGCUUGGCAAACUGCGGGUCUUGAGCACGGUAGAGGCUGUCGGAACGCUAGGUGGAGCGGUGAAAUGCGUAGAUAUCUAGCGGAACGCCAAAGGAGAAGUCAGGCAGCUGGGCCGGAGCUGACGCUCAGGCACGAAAGCAUGGGUAGCGAACGGG